CCUACGGGUGGCAGCAGUGAGGAAUAUUGGUCAAUGGACGAGAGUCUGAACCAGCCAAGUAGCGUGAAGGAUGACUGCCCUAUGGGUUGUAAACUUCUUUUAUAAAGGAAUAAAACGAGGCACGUGUGCCUUUUUGCAUGUACUUUAUGAAUAAGGAUCGGCUAACUCCGUGCCAGCAGCCGCGGUAAUACGGAGGAUCCGAGCGUUAUCCGGAUUUAUUGGGUUUAAAGGGAGCGUAGAUGGGUUGUUAAGUCAGUUGGGAAAGUUUGCGGCUCAACCGUCAAAUUGCCAUUGAUACUGGCAGUCUUGAGAAGAGGUGAGGUAGGCGGAAUUCGUAGUGUAGCGGUGAAAUGCUUAGAUAUCGCGAAGAACCCCGAUUGCGAAGGCAGCUUACUAAACUGUGACUGACAUUGAUGCUCGAAAGUGUGGGUAUCAAACAGGAUUAGAUACCCUGGUAGUC
rnacentral:rRNA from 1 species